rnacentral:rRNA from 1 species
GAUGAACGCUGGCGGCGUGCCUAAUACAUGCAAGUCGAGCGAACAGACGAGGAGCUUGCUCCUCUGACGUUAGCGGCGGACGGGUGAGUAACACGUGGAUAACCUACCUAUAAGACUGGGAUAACUUCGGGAAACCGGAGCUAAUACCGGAUAAUAUAUUGAACCGCAUGGUUCAAUAGUGAAAGACGGUUUUGCUGUCACUUAUAGAUGGAUCCGCGCCGCAUUAGCUAGUUGGUAAGGUAACGGCUUACCAAGGCAACGAUGCGUAGCCGACCUGAGAGGGUGAUCGGCGACACUGGAACUGAGACACGGUCCAGACUCCUACGGGAGGCAGCAGUAGGGAAUCUUCCGCAAUGGGCGAAAGCCUGACGGAGCAACGCCGCGUGAGUGAUGAAGGUCUUCGGAUCGUAAAACUCUGUUAUUGGGGAAGAACAAAUGUGUAAGUAACUAUGCACGUCUUGACGGUACCUAAUCAGAAAGCCACGGCUAACUACGUG